UACGAAGGGGGCAAGCGUUGUUCGGAUUUACUGGGCGUAAAGCGUCCGUAGGCGGUUAGGAAAGUCAGAAGUGAAAGCCCAGGGCUCAACCCUGGAAUUGCUUUUGAAACUCCCUUACUAGAGGCCGGGAGAGGUAAGCAGAAUUCCGAGUGUAGAGGUGAAAUUCGCAGAUAUUCGGAGGAAUACCAGUGGCGAAAGCGGCUUACUGGACCGGUUCUGACGCUGAUGGACGAAAGCGUGGGUAGCAAACAGG
rnacentral:rRNA from 1 species